ensembl:lncRNA
GGCAAAACAGACUCCCAAAACACUUGAAACACUUCUUGAGAUGGAAACCGAGAAUAAUAUGUCAUGGUCUGAUCAGACACACAAAACCUGUUGAGGACAGUUUGUGGACCCAUGGACAUUUCUUGCAGCCUUGCCUCCAGCUCAGCAAUAUACUCCAGGGCAUCAUCCAGUGCACCUACAAAAAAAGAAGACAAAUCAGUCUUCAUUACCAUUCAUUCGUAUUCACCCUUUCUUUUUUAUUGUAUUGUUAUUCGGUAUACUUAAGUUUAUUUAUAUUUCUUAUUAUUACAUUUAUUUGUACUGUUUUCUGUUUUUCUUUUUUAUGUAUUAACUAUAGGUGGAGUGUACAUAGAGUAAAGAUAGGCCUAUUGUCCUCUGGUCGAAGAAGAAUCGCGACGGCGCCCUCUAGUGGCUAGUCCUGAAUAACACCGGGAAGUCAUUACAAAAGACCUUCAGUUACUUGCACAGGAUGUAGGCAGAGCUCCUCUGCCACCAACUCAACUCCUACAAAGAUCAAAAGAAGAUCUGGUAGUUCAUAAAUGGCAACAAUAUUGCCAUUAUAAUAUUGUUGCCGCAGAUCUUUAAAAGGUAUUGACCGUUUUUUUUAUAUAUACUUUCUUAAAAGCUGUGUGAAACAAAGUUGUAUUUACAUACAGAAUCUGAUGCUAAUGUUGAUUGUCUGACCUUCCUUUUGCC